ensembl:snRNA U2 U2 spliceosomal RNA
AUUGCUUCUCAGCCUUUUGGCUAAGAUCAAGUGUAGUAUCUGUUCUUAUCAGUUUAAAAUACAAGGGAUGCAGUUAAAACCUUAGUGAGAUGGAAAUUGAUAGCAAUAAAAACCUGCAUCAGAGAGAAAGAUUGUAAAUUAGUCACCUAAAUUUCAGCUUCAAUCAAC